UUAACAUUGCAGGACUGAGGGUACAGAGACACUGUACACAGAUCACUUCAAUAACACAAAACGGUCUGGGUGCCUAUAAUAUCCCUUUAAAACCAUCCAGCUAGAUUUAAUCUACAAGGGCUGCUCAGGGUCACCUCUGUUUAGGUGAAAGCAGCAUUUAAUUAAUGACACAAAGUACCAAAAUAACUACAGCCCAGUGCUAGUAAACAGUUUGACAGACAUACCUGGGUCAUCCAGGUUCCACUGCUGCUUAUAGUCUCCUCCAUACAGCUCAUCAACAUGGGCACAAAUAACAGACAAGAAAAUAUCCCAAACAAUAGAGGGAAUUAGCAUUGGGCUAUACUGAUACAAAGUGCACAUAUGGCAUACAGCAGGACGCACGUAGAUAGACAAACGUGUAUCUUUUUAACAAGCCGUUUGUUUAUACAUUCUAUUAGUUCUCUGAUAUUUGAUGAAAGUGUUAUUACACCAAUUUGACUAGUUACUGUAUACACAAAC